CAGCAGCCGCGGUAAUACGGAGGGUGCAAGCGUUAAUCGGAAUUACUGGGCGUAAAGCGUGCGUAGGCGGUUCGUUAAGUCUGUUGUGAAAGCCCCGGGCUCAACCUGGGAAUGGCAAUGGAUACUGGCGAGCUAGAGUGUGUCAGAGGAUGGUGGAAUUCCCGGUGUAGCGGUGAAAUGCGUAGAGAUCGGGAGGAACAUCAGUGGCGAAGGCGGCCAUCUGGGACAACACUGACGCUGAGGCACGAAAGCGUGGGGAGCAAACAGGAUUAGAUACCCCAGUAGUCCCUGUCUCUUAUAA
rnacentral:rRNA from 1 species